rnacentral:lncRNA from 1 species
CCGUUCGAACGCCCUGCCCUCCGGCUCUGCACCACGGCCAUCUAUUCCUCCAUUGGUGCUGUUGGUUAAGAUUCUUUCUAGUCUGCUCCUCCGGUUCUUUCCUGCUGUUGUUUGUACGAUUUACUGAUCUCGUCUGUUUCCAUUUGCUCCCUUCGUGCGCAGCUUCCUUGACUUUCGCGUUGGCUCCUUCGUAGGAGCGUGGGUCGUUCCGUCCUUGCUGUCCAGCCUGCUCUGCUUCUCUAUGGGUGCAUGCCUGUUAGGUGUUUGAUGAAAUGCGCGAGGGUUGCUCGAUGAAUGAUGUCGUGUGUUUUCAUCUUGCGUUGGUUGUGCAUGGUUCGCGGUGUCGGUUUCCGCGGCUUGUAUGAGGAUACGAUGAUGCUGAUACUUUUGUAAAAUAGUGAUGUUUGAAGGCGAUGUGUCUUUUUGUUUUGCUUCUAUUUUGUUGCUUGUUUUGCUGUUUGCGUUGGAAUGGAUGAACACUUUUGUUUCCA